AUGCUGUCCUGGGGAUACUUCCUCUUCCUCCUCCCCACCUUAUCAGGUGCCCAGUCCCAGGUGCAGCUGGUGGAGACUGGAGGGGAUGUAAGGAAGCCUGGAGACUCUCUGCGCCUCUCCUGCAAAGCCUCUGGGUUCACCUUCAGCAAUUACUGGCUGGGCUGGGUCCGUCAGGCUCCUGGGAAGGGGCUUGAAUGGGUCUCUGCCAUUGACAACUCUGGCAGCAGCACCUAUUACAUCCCUGGAGUGAGUGGGCGCUUCACCAUCUCCAGGGACAAUGCCAGGGCCCUGCUGCACCUGGACAUGAGUGACCUGAGGCCCGAGGACACCGGCCGAUAUCACUGCGAGAGACUCACUGUGCGGGAAGCCCAGACAAAAACCUUUCUUUGA